GUGUGGACCAGAACAUCUCAAUUCCUUUCAGGUCUACAAUGUCCGACACGACGAGUUUGUGGACCCACCAGCUGGCCACAUGUUCUCCAAUGAAGAUAAAAUUACACUGGUGUAUAAAGAAGAAAACGUGCAACUAGAAUGCAGAGCGUUUUGCAGUUGGCAUUAUCCAGUUGAUGCCAAUGCUCCUAAAGGAGCAGCCAAGAUUUUUGCAGUGGCCGGACGCCAACUGUACUAUUUCCUUCAGUGGCCCCAAUGCGCACAAAGCCACAGACAUUGUUGUGACUUUUGAAGGCUUGAGUGUGGACGUCAUCGACAUUAUAGUAGGCAUGACCGCACACAUAGAAAUAUGUUGGAUUUUUUUACUUAAAGCAUAGUGCGCAGAACAAGAAAACACUAACAGUGCUGGAUCACUUUUGCGGCUUGCCGACAAAUGCCAAGGCACCCAUAGUUGUACGCACAAUAUCGUACCUUGAGGAUGGUUUGCGCAAAAAUUGGCUUGAGUUCUGAACUGUUCUUCAAAUAAACAUUCAGAGAUUAAAUUGCA